AGUGAACGUUGGCGGCGUGGAUUAGGCAUGCAAGUCGAGCGAGAACCGUAGCAAUACGGGGACAGCGGCGAAAGGGACAGUAAUGUGUAGGUACCUACCUCCGGGUUCGGGAUAGCUGCGGGAAACUGCAGGUAAUACCGAAUAACGUCUCCGGACCAAAGGUGUGAUUCCACCUGGAGAGGGGCCUGCAUCCUAUUAGCUUGUUGGCGGGGUAACGGCCCACCAAGGCGACGAUGGGUAGCGGGUGUGAGAGCACGACCCGCGUCAUUGGGACUGGGACACUGCCCAGACACCUACGGGUGGCUGCAGUCGAGGAUCUUCGGCAAUGGGCGCAAGCCUGACCGAGCGACGCCGCGUGCGGGAUGAAGGCCUUCGGGUUGUAAACCGCUGUCGUAGGGGAGGAAGUGCAGGGGGGUUCUCCCCUCUGUUUGACCUAUUCUAGGAGGAAGGACGGGCUAAGUUCGUGCCAGCCGCCGCGGUAA
rnacentral:rRNA from 1 species